AAGUCGUAACAAGGUUUCCGUAGGUGAACCUGCGGAAGGAUCAUUAAAAGAGAUCGUUUCUGAAGCUCAAAAGGCUGAAGAAAUCCUCCAACCCUUGUCUAUUAAACCAAAAUUGUUGCUUCGGCGAAUUUUUCCAAGAAAGUCGAGAUUAAGUCGGGAAAUUCAUUUUCUGAUUUGUUCUUUCCUUGCUUGUCGCCAGAAGACCACAACUUUAAACUCUUGUUAAUUAACAUAAGUCUGAAAAUUGAAAAUCAUCUAAUGAUUUAAAUUCAAAUUAAAACACAA
rnacentral:misc_RNA from 1 species